rnacentral:rRNA from 1 species
AGUGAACGCUGGCGGUAGGCCUAACACAUGCAAGUCGAACGGCAGCACAGUAAGAGCUUGCUCUUGCGGGUGGCGAGUGGCGGACGGGUGAGGAAUACAUCGGAAUCUACUUUUUCGUGGGGGAUAACGUAGGGAAACUUAUGCUAAUACCGCAUACGACCUACGGGUGAAAGCAGGGGAUCUUCGGACCUUGCGCGAUUGAAUGAGCCGAUGUCGGAUUAGCUAGUUGGCGGGGUAAAGGCCCACCAAGGCGACGAUCCGUAGCUGGUCUGAGAGGAUGAUCAGCCACACUGGAACUGAGACACGGUCCAGACUCCUACGGGAGGCAGCAGUGGGGAAUAUUGGACAAUGGGCGCAAGCCUGAUCCAGCCAUACCGCGUGGGUGAAGAAGGCCUUCGGGUUGUAAAGCCCUUUUGUUGGGAAAGAAAAGCAGCAGGUUAAUACCCCGCUGUUCUGACGGUACCCAAAGAAUAAGCACCGGCUAACUUCGUG